UCAGGAUUAACGCUGGCGGCGUGCCUAAUACAUGCAAGUCGAAUGGUAGCAAUACCAUGGCGAACGGGUGAGUAACACGUAGGUAACCUGUCUUUAAGCCGAGGAUAACCAUUGGAAACGAUGGAUAAUACUGGAUAGGACAUUUGAAGGCAUCUUUAGAUGUUUAAAGAUUUAUCACUUAGAGAGGGGCCUGCGGCGCAUUAGCUAGUUGGUGAGGUGAAGGCUUACCAAGGCGAUGAUGCGUAGCCGGACUGAGAGGUUGAACGGCCACAAUGGAACUGAGAACGGUCCAUACUCCUACGGGAGGCAGCAGUAGGGAAUUUUCGGCAAUGGGCGGAAGCCUGACCGAGCAACGCCGCGUGAACGAAGAAGUAUUUCGGUAUGUAAAGUUCUUUUAUUAGGGACGAAAAGACAGAUUGACGGUACCUAAUGAAUAAGCUCCGGCUAACUACGUGCCAGCCGCAGC
rnacentral:rRNA from 1 species